rnacentral:rRNA from 1 species
CACGUAGGCGGCCUGGUAAGUCAGAUGUGAAAGCCCUGGGCUUAACCCGGGAAGUGCAUUUGAUACUGUCAGGCUUGAGUAUGGGAGAGGGAAGUGGAAUUCCUGGUGUAGAGGUGAAAUUCGUAGAUAUCAGGAGGAACACCGGUGGCGAAGGCGACUUCCUGGACCAAUACUGACGCUGAGGUGCGAAGGCGUGGGUAGCAAACAGGAUUAGAUACCCUGGUAGUCC